UACGGGGGGGGUAAGCGUUGUUCGGAAUUACUGGGCGUAAAGGGCUCGUAGGCGGCCAACUAAGUCAGACGUGAAAUCCCUCAGCUUAACUGGGGAACUGCGUCUGAUACUGGAUGGCUUGGAUUUGGGGAGAGGGAUGCGGAAUUCCAGGUGUAGCGGUGAAAUGCGUAGAUAUCUGGAGGAACACCGGUGGCGAAGGCGGUGCUCUGGGCCGGAACUGACGCUGAGGAGCGAAAGCGUGGGGAGCGAACAGG
rnacentral:rRNA from 1 species